rnacentral:rRNA from 1 species
UACAGAGGGUGCGAGCGUUAAUCGGAAUUACUGGGCGUAAAGCGCACGUAGUCGGCUUUGCAAGUCGGUUGUGAAAUCCCCGGGCUCAACCUGGGAACUGCAUCCGAGACUGCAUUGCUAGAGUAUGGGAGAGGAAAGCGGAAUUUCUGGUGUAGCAGUGAAAUGCGUAGAUAUCAGAAGGAACAUCCAGUGGCGAAGGCG